rnacentral:lncRNA from 1 species
GCGGACUGUCAGGACAUGAGGAGCAUAGGGUCACCGAGUUCAGGACCCUCAUUUUAUGUCUGAGGCCAAGGAAAUCCAGAGAUAGGAAGGACUUGCUAAGAGUCCCAGAGUGGGGCCAGGUGGGCCAGCCCUGAACAAGGCCUCACCCCCACCCCUGGGUUCCUCAUCCACUUCCUCCCUGGAGGGGGCUGGGGUGGGUUUUGGGGCAAAGGCAGGGAAGAAAUCAGCCAGUCCAAACUGGACCACCAUCCACAGGUGUGCAGGAUAGAGGCAGAGGGGACAGGGUGUGGCGGCCCAGGCCUUCAACAGGUGAGGUCACUGAGUUCCAGAGAGGGUGGGGGCCCCUGCCCAAGGCCAAACACAAGCCCAGGGUUCCAGGGCAUCCCUGGUUCUCUGCCCGGUGGGAUUGGCUCCUGACCUGGUGAGUUCACCUGGUGCUGCAGAUGAGAUGUCUUCAUGGGAGGGGCCUUGGGGUUAAGGGAGCCGAUCCCCUGAUGGCUACAGAGAUUGGGCGUCCCCUUGCCAGCAGUGCCCACCCCUCCCCAUUAGCAAGUGCCCAGGGUCAACCCUGAGCUUCCACAAUCCCCAGCCCCAACGGCAACACUCACUCCUCAGCCCCUCCAGCCCACUGGGCUCCACAGUGCAGCCCGAUGGGGACAUAGUUUACCCCUCACCCUGACACCUCCCCGACAGCUUACAGCAGGUAUCCUGAGCUUUUGCUAUGUGCUGGGUCCUGUCUUGGGUUCCCAGUGCCCCCAGCACAUCCUGGAGCUUAGCAGGAAAGCUGCUUCCCUGGCACUCCUCAGACCUGGCACCCUUCCCCAUGCAGCAGCCCCUGGGACACCCCAUCCCCCUGAAAACCCUUGGUCUGCAGUGACUCGCUCAAAUAAGUGCAUGCUGCUGCCACCACAGACCAUUUUAGCAAGAGAGAGAGGUUCCGCUGCUAAUUUGAGGCUGACCUGUGCAAGGCCUGGCCAAAAAGUGAAGGGUAUGAGCUGGGCAUUGUGUUCUCAUGUGACAACCACCAGGAGAUGGCCAGGUUUUCUCUUCCUUGUCACAUGGGGCUUCCUGGGGAAGGCUGACGAUGGCAGGAGAUGGUCAAAAGGCCUUGACAAUUCAGUACCAUCCUCCUCUGACUAGUGAUAUUUUUUUUAAAAAGAGCCCUGCUGGGCACGGUGACUCGCACCUGUAAUCCCAGCACUUUGGGAGGCCGGGCAGAUCCCUCGAGGCCAGGAGUUCAAGACCAGCCUGGCCAACUUGGUGAAACUCUGUCUCUACUAAAAAUUCAAAAAAAUUAGCCAGGCAUGGUGGUGGGCGCCUGUAAUCCCAGCUACUAGGGAGGCUGAGGCAGGAGAAUUGCUUGAACUUGGGAGGCGGAGGUUGCAGUGAGCCGAGAUUAAGCCACUGCACUCUAGGCUGGGUGACACAGUGAGACUCCAUCUCAAAA